GCGGCAAUGGAGGUUGCCCGAGGAGGAUCAUAUGAGCGACACCGCUUUUGGGUUUCUGCUAGCGGCUGAACUGUCAGCCUUGCUCUGGACCGCACUGCUCAUGGCCGCCUUCUCGGUUUUCUGACCAUCCGUUCAGCUUUAUCACUCCACUUUUGCGGUGGCCGAGACCGCAAAUACCUCCUU
rnacentral:sRNA from 1 species